CAGGGGAUUGCAGUGGCAAAGCUAGGCUAGGUCUUGGAGGCUGGUGUAAGGCGAUGUGGGUGAAGGCAGGAGGCUGAUGGAAAGACUGGGGGGAAGAAAAGCCGAAAUGGAUUCACGGUGCCUUGGAUGAAGGACGAGAGGGGAACUGCAAGCUCCUUCAACUGGUUCUGUCCGGUGAGAAGUGAUCAAGCUUGGGCUGACAAGAGGCUCAGGGAGCCCUCACGUUCUUUCGCUUUUUUACCUGCCAAUCAAACUGCUACAAGACAACACCCUGAUCUGGCAUGGACAUCGCGGGUCCAAGCCUGUAGCCCCAAAUCGGAUAAUCUCUGCAGCUGAUAACAAGCAAAAGAGAAGCCAGGCAACAGCCAUAUUAAAGAAGAAAACAAUCAACUCUGAGCAGGAAGAAAUGUAAUGAAUUGAGUGCUGUCAGAGAUGUCUUCUGUUUGAACAAUCUGCGAUGGGCUGAAUGGCAGGGACUCCCUCAUCCAGUGCAGAUCCAACUUAGAAAUAAUGUUUCAUUCAAGAUAAGGCUCGUGGCUUAGGAGAUUGUGACCUGGCUUGCAUCAUUCUAAGACUUCUAUCGUCUGUUUUCAAAACCCAAGGAGGACCUCCUUUUCUGUGUGAUAGUUCCUCAUGCUUUGCCAGCCACUGGGUCUUUAAGGAAGCUUGCCAAGAGUUCCCGGCUGGGAAGGACAGUUCGAGUUCAUCAUAGACAAUGAGCUGGCACCACAGUUUAAGUGACUCACCAACCUGGUU
rnacentral:lncRNA from 1 species